rnacentral:rRNA from 1 species
AUUGAACGCUGGCGGCAUGCUUUACACAUGCAAGUCGAACGGUAACAGGUUAAGCUGACGAGUGGCGAACGGGUGAGUAAUGCAUCGGAACGUGCCCGGUCGUGGGGGAUAACACUUCGAAAGAAGUGCUAAUACCGCAUACGAUCUGAGGAUGAAAGCGGGGGACCGUAAGGCCUCGCGCGAUCGGAGCGGCCGAUGUCAGAUUAGGUAGUUGGUGGGGUAAAGGCCCACCAAGCAGACGAUCUGUAGCUGGUCUGAGAGGACGACCAGCCACACUGGGACUGAGACACGGCCCAGACUCCUACGGGAGGCAGCAGUGGGGAAUUUUGGACAAUGGGCGCAAGCCUGAUCCAGCAAUGCCGCGUGCAGGAAGAAGGCCUUCGGGUUGUAAACUGCUUUUGUACGGAGCGAAAAGGCUCUCUCUAAUACAGGGGGCUGAUGACGGUACCGUAAGAAUAAGCACCGGCUAACUACGUGCCAGCCGCCGCCGUAAUAC